CCGACCCACAGAUACUGACGGCCAGCACGAUCCAAAAUCUAACUCUAUGAGGAGAGAGGGGAACCAGGAAGCCUAGAACCAGAAGCUGAAGACUAAAGCUCCCAGCGCCUACUGAACCACCCCAUCCCAAAUCUCCUUGUCAAGAUGGCAACUUUAUUCAGAAGGGGGCUUCCAAGGUUAAACAGAGCUAUUGAAGAAGAAAUCAUCCCUCACGCCUCCACCACAGGCCCAAAGAAGAACUAUAAGAGGAUCCUUUGGAAAAUGAGAUUGAAUUUUGCUCUUGUGGCUACAAGGAAUAGAACCAGCAUCAAGGUUUAAGUUCCUAUGAAAGCA
rnacentral:lncRNA from 1 species